rnacentral:rRNA from 1 species
AGUGAACGCUGGCGGUAGGCCUAACACACGCAAGUCGAACGGCAGCACAGUAAGAGCUUGCUCUUACGGGUGGCGAGUGGCGGACGGGUGAGGAAUACAUCGGAAUCUACUUUUUCGUGGGGGAUAACGUAGGGAAACUUACGCUAAUACCGCAUACGACCUACGGGUGAAAGCAGGGGAUCUUCGGACCUUGCGCGAUUGAAUGAGCCGAUGUCGGAUUAGCUAGUUGGCGGGGUAAAGGCCCGCCAAGGCGACGAUCCGUAGCUGGUCUGAGAGGAUGAUCAGCCACACUGGAACUGAGACACGGUCCAGACUCCUACGGGAGGCAGCAGUGGGGAAUAUUGGACAAUGGGCGCAAGCCUGAUCCAGCCAUACCGCGUGGGUGAAGAAGGCCUUCGGGUUGUAAAGCCCUUUUGUUGGGAAAGAAAAGCAGCAGGUUAAUACCCCGCUGUUCUGACGGUACCCAAAGAAUAAGCACCGGCUAACUUCGUG